rnacentral:lncRNA from 1 species
AGCAGGGCACCUUAGGCAGAGGCACAAUGGUCUCCCUCCUCCAGGAACCGUGCUUGCUUCUCUUCUUCUUACAUUGCGCGAUGGGGGGCACCACCAGGAGCAGCAUGGGUCUAGAUGUCAACAACACGGACCAGUUAGUGAAAAUCAACAACACAGAAACAAUAACAGUGACCCCAGGAGGACUGACCGCCUCAGAGAGCAUCUUUGGGAGUACUCGACUCUAUGAGAAUUCAGCUGUCACCCACACUCCCUUGAAAUCCAAAACAUCUCUAAUUUUUGAGACCUUGGCACUAGCCAGAACUGCCUACAAAGCUGAGACUGAGAUAGCUGAGUUCUUUUCCCCAGUGGAGUCACUGAUGAUAAUGGAUGCCCUGGAUAAAAUGGAGACCACAACGCUACUGGAGAGCACUGACCCCACCAUUGCCUCUGUUACAAUUGCCUCAGAAUCAGGGACAGCCAUAGACAAGACCCACAACCAAGCUAAGACUUUUUCAAUAGCCUAUUCUACUACAGAAGCUGAGGUAGACACAACAGAAUCUCUUGCCUCAGCUGAAGCUUGGCCUAGGAUGAGCAUCUUCCACAAAGUAGUCUGGAAAUCAUUAAUAGAGCCACCCCUGCAUCCUCUUCCACCCCACCAAAAUCAUGGAAAACAUAGACAUCAUCCCAAAGGACACUAUGACUACUUACCGCCUGUGACAGACCACCCCUGGACUUCUCCUUUGAGCAGUAGCAUCCCAGAAAACUAUGAAACCAGCAUCAAGACCCCCACUUUCACUGAGGCCAUGACCACAACUGAUACUUUCACAGAAUCAGAGAUCUCAAACCCUUUUGGGACCAUUGUCCUUGAGGAGACCUCUGGAAUAAUGAUACCACCAGGAAAAGAGACUGUCGUCAGCAACACCAUAGAAAGAGAAGGGACCCCAAUCGAGACCACAACCCUCCCUGGGACCUUGACUACAGUCAGUCCUAUCACAGAAGCCACCACGCUGACAAGCAACCUCAUCGAUUCCUUCCCUACAGCUGACAGCACCCAAGGAAUAAAGACCACCACUGCUGUAACUUUGUCCAUGGCCUAUACCAACACGGAAGCGGAGACUACAACCCCUGAAAUAGAUACCUCUGCUGAGCCUUUAGGUGUAGCUGGCAAUAACUUACAACCAAAGACCACAGGUGAAGAAACAACCUUAACUGGUGACAUCACAGAAACAAGUGGCACUAGAGCUAAGACCACCAUUCUCCCUGGGACCUCAAUGACAGUGGACAGCUCUACAGAAGAAGGGACCUCAGACUUCUUAAAGACUAAUUUAUUUUCUGAGACAUCGGCUUCAUCUUCCUCAGCUGAAGAAGAGUUGAGCACAGUUGUUGAGAUCUUGACAACAACCGACAAGAUCACCAUGGCAGUGUCAACCACAGCUGAAACUCCUAAUGCAGCUGAGACCCUUGAUAUCACAGGUCACACUGUAGAAACUACGGGCAAAAUGGCAACAGACACCCUGAAUACAAUCUACAUUCCUACCACAGAAGAAGCCACGGCUCCAAUUGAGACAACUGUCUUCACUGAGGUCCCAAGUACAGUUAGGAUCUCCAUAGAGGAAAGGUCAACAACAACCAAAUUCGCUACCCCUGAUGAGUUUUCAGACAAAGUCUAUACCACCACAGAAGGGACAACAGCCCCAGGAAUGAAUUUCUCCGGAGACGAGACCUUAACCUCAGGCAAGACCCCAGCAAUAGUCUCAACAAUAGGAAAGCAUACAGCCACUGCCCUGAUGAACCAAAACACCGACGCUGAUUCCAGUCAAGAUGGAGGCUUUCUCCUCCUUCGGCUGGUUGUAUCCUCCUCCCUGGACCUCACUGAUUAUAAGGUGGCAAAGGAGUUCCUGCAUAAGCUUCGUCAGGAUCUGCAGGUACAAGUCCCCUACACCCAAAUCUCCUUGAUGAAGGUCACCAAGGGCUGAAGAGUUGUUUGUAGCAUCCUGGAGAGUGACUUCAGUAAAGAGAAGAUAAUGCUGCUAAUAAUCUGUGUCUCCACAAGGAGGAUUGCAGGCUGCAUUCCUGGGCAAAGGUGUUGGUGGAAGGUCCUAAUAGAAGCCAUCCUCUUUAACCCCCUACCUCCACAGAGAACAGCACAGCAUCCACCCCAUACAGCUGGGGGACUUACCCUGGGGGUUCUGGACAGAAGAUCAAAGAUACUUCCUUGGGCACAUAAAUGAGCAUUUUAAUAAAGGGCUAUUCCGCCCCCCCCCCC